rnacentral:lncRNA from 1 species
GCAUACAUGACACGAUAACUCUACUGGAAUCUUUAAAACCAACGAAGGAAUGUCAUAAAUAAUAAAAGGAGUAGGACUACAAUAGUUUGUAAAAGAAAACCCAGCACAUCUGCACAAUACAGAAUGCCGUAAAUAAGGGAAGGAACACCAACUCCAAUAACCAAUAAAUGAAAUAAAACCAAUAGCGAAACACGUGUCCUACUCCUACGAAUCGUCUCUAGGAUCUCGUCUAGCCACAUUGACAUGGCGAGGGGCAGCGGGACUCGGAUCCCAGGUCUUCAUCGCCCUCUGCGACGCGGUCCUCCUCGGCCUCCGCCUCCUUUCCCGCCAACCACUCCUCCGCGUGCAGUGCUUGGUUAGCCAUCCUUCUCACCAGUGCAAAUUCCAGAGGCUCCAGGACUCCCACGAGUUCUUCACGAAUAUCCCCACGUAGCCCGGCCCUAAACAGAUGACACCACUCCUCAGCUGGCUUCGGUUGACACAUCUUGGCCGUAUCCAAGAACUCCUCCAGGUAAUCUCUCACCUUGCGUGGCUUCUGAACCAUCUGGACCAGUACGUCACAAUCACAUGUUACUGUAGGUGGUUUUCGCGGACGCCCCCGCUUUCCCUUAGCGGGUGUCCCUACCGGCACCUCAUGGCCAUCGACGUCCCCACCCGGGUUUCCUCCUUCCAUGCUCGAGAGAGCGGCCACAUCGGCUGCAAUCUUCUCUUCUGCCUCCAUGGCGAAGCCUGCCAUCCGCCUCACUAACGCGAACUCCAAGGGCUCCAAAACACCCCUCAACUGCGCCUGGAGCUCCUGGCGUAGCCCGUUCUUAUACCAUAUGCACCACGUCUCUGCAUUCUUCGGUUUGCACAGCUUGGCUUGGUUGAUGAAGUCCUCCGUGUAUCCAGCGACUGAUCGGUCCUCCUGAGCAUUCUUGCUCAGCACUCCACACUGGCACUUCCCGGUGAACGCCCUUGGGGGUCCCCCUGCUGCACUUGGCGUCUUGCAGGGACGGCCACGCUUCCUCGGGGGUCCCUCUUCGGUUGCAAGCUGGAACCUCGCAUUGCCCUGCAGUAGGCGUGUCUCCAUAGCCAUCCUCUGGAAAUGAGGCAUCAACACCUUAUGCCUCACAGUCUGCUCGUGCGGGUACCUGAAUGGGAACUCCCUGUACUGUUCUUCAGGAUCCGGAAACAUGGGUAGCACCAAGUUACCCUCCCUGUCAUAGUGACGCCUUUGGGCAUACUCCCUGGUGUUCCUCCGUCCGUAGUGCAUACGCGGCAUCCUCCACUCGUAAUGGUCAAGCGAAAACAUCCUGCAAUAAAAUUUCAAUCAGAACCAUAAUAGAAGUAUGGAUAUAGUGGGAUUUUCAAUUAAUUUUUCACAAUCCGAAAAUACUUAGUAAUAUUGCAAUUUUUUUUUUUUUUUUUUUUUUUUUUUUUUUUUUCCGAAAACGAAAUAUAAAUUUUUUUUUUUUUUUUUUUUUAAAACGUCGGAAAUGCCGAUCCCUUAGGCAGAACUAAGGGAUCUUAACCCGCUCUGAUACCAAUUGUAACAGCCCGAUCCCCCGGCGUCCGACCGGUUAUCGAAGGGGCGUUAUGGACACGUGUCUACUCAUUUAGACAACCCUACGUGUCCCGUUACUGGUCCCGAGAGACGAGCGCAUAACCUUCUUUGAAAAACGUCACACCCACAUCCAUAUACUUCUACUUACAGUCCUGCGCACAGGGAAAAUGGAAAUGGAGGGGUGAGCAACAAGUUACUCAGUGAAGUGGUUCUAGACCAGCCUGCCCGCAUGACACUCUAUACUACUCUAUGCGGGAACUAGGACUGACUAGCCACUACAAUCAGUUAAUGCAUUUUUAUCAUUUCCUAUCGUCAUCUGUAAUUUCCACAUUCACUUCCAUUCAUUUCUAACAACCUAGCGAUCAAUCAAUACAAUGAUCUCACUCAUUGCCACACACGUCAAACCCUAGACUUAACCGACUCAUCUUACCAGUCCGACUCGAUCCUAUGACACCUUUAACUUCCCGUUACCCGACCAUGAGCUAAAACCCUACAAUGCACAUCUUUUCAUCUUUUCAUCUUUUCCUCUUUUCCUCUUUUCCUCUUUUCCUCAGUGGGUAGCCCCCCACUAGGCUUCUACCCCAUAUUCAUGUGGAUUCGCCACAUCUCCUAUGGGUGCUUCCAUAUUCAUGUGGAUUCGCCACAUCUCCUAUGGAUACCUAGCGUGGACUACUUACCCCACCUACAAACCUUAGACUCUCUAUAUGCUUUCCCACCCAUGCUUAACCUUAACAUCGUUCUUUCAUACUUUUACUUAUCCUUUCACUUCCUUAUCGUCUUCACUUAAUCCCUCCCAUUCCCAAUUACUUUCCCUUUUCAUUCAUACUUGUACUUGGACUCAAUCACUAGACGCCACCCGUUAUCGGUGUCACACACAAUACACAUCGCAUUCAAGUUCUACUUCAAUAACAUUAUCAAUCAUUGCUCAUCUAUCAUCCUAGCAUCAUUUCUCUCUAGCAUCCUAACUUCAAUCACAACCACACAUGGGACUACACAUUCAAACAUACAAGCAUCACUCAUCAACCAAUCAACAUCACCACAACAUAGAUCAGUUCAUCAAGUCCCAUUUAUCAGUAUGAGGGUUCUUAUGCAUCAUGAUCCAUUCAUCUAUCAUCCUAGCAAUACCAUGUCCUAUCAACCUAACUCCCAAUCAGGGUCUAAUCAAACCUAACUCCAACAUAUAGGAGUAUACAGAACCAUGAAAGAAGGUUGGGUUCGAAACACUCCACCUUAGUCUUAGAUCUGGAUCUGGAAACGAGGAUUGAGAAGGUUGAGAUCUGGUCAGCACCACCACUUCACGGCGCCGGCGAGAGGGAGAGAGAGAGAGAGCGUGCGACGGCGAGGAGAGAGAGAGAGAGCGACGCGCGGGAGAGAGAGAGGAGAGAGAGAGACGGCGCAGGAGAGAAGGAGAGAGAGCUCGACGGCUAGGGUUUUCGACCUCCGGGAAUUCUCUGCAGAGCUUCGCUUCAGAUUUGUGAUGAGGCAAAAAGGGAGACUGCAUCUCUUUUUAUAGUAAAGGGAAGGGGAAGCCCUAGGGUUUUGCUAAAUGGGCCGUAGAGAAGCCCAUAUUCUUUGGGAAAUUUUUAUGGGCCAGGAACCGGGCCGUUACAAUCCUCCCCCGUUAAUCGGAAUUCGUCCCCGAAUUCCAAAGCCCACAUCUUUCAGACCAAUCGUUCGUUACCAAAAUGGAUUCACACAUUCACACAACAAUCAAGGGAGGCAUACAUGACACGAUAACUCUACUGGAAUCUUUAAAACCAACGAAGGAAUGUCAUAAAUAAUAAAAGGAGUAGGACUACAAUAGUUUGUAAAAGAAAACCCAGCACCUCUGCACAAUACAGAAUGCCGUAAAUAAGGGAAGGAACACCAACUCCAAUAACCAAUAAAUGAAAUAAAACCAAUAGCGAAACACGUGUCCUACUCCUACGAAUCGUCUCUAGGAUCUCGUCUAGCCACAUUGACAUGGCGAGGGGCAGCGGGACUCGGAUCCCAGGUCUUCAUCGCCCUCUGCGACGCGGUCCUCCUCGGCCUCCGCCUCCUUUCCCGCCAACCACUCCUCCGCGUGCAGUGCUUGGUUAGCCAUCCUUCUCACCAGUGCAAAUUCCAGAGGCUCCAGGACUCCCACGAGUUCUUCACGAAUAUCCCCACGUAGCCCGGCCCUAAACAGAUGACACCACUCCUCAGCUGGCUUCGGUUGACACAUCUUGGCCGUAUCCAAGAACUCCUCCAGGUAAUCUCUCACCUUGCGUGGCUUCUGAACCAUCUGGACCAGUACGUCACAAUCACAUGUUACUGUAGGUGGUUUUCGCGGACGCCCCCGCUUUCCCUUAGCGGGUGUCCCUACCGGCACCUCAUGGCCAUCGACGUCCCCACCCGGGUUUCCUCCUUCCAUGCUCGAGAGAGCGGCCACAUCGGCUGCAAUCUUCUCUUCUGCCUCCAUGGCGAAGCCUGCCAUCCGCCUCACUAACGCGAACUCCAAGGGCUCCAAAACACCCCUCAACUGCGCCUGGAGCUCCUGGCGUAGCCCGUUCUUAUACCAUAUGCACCACGUCUCUGCAUUCUUCGGUUUGCACAGCUUGGCUUGGUUGAUGAAGUCCUCCGUGUAUCCAGCGACUGAUCGGUCCUCCUGAGCAUUCUUGCUCAGCACUCCACACUGGCACUUCCCGGUGAACGCCCUUGGGGGUCCCCCUGCUGCACUUGGCGUCUUGCAGGGACGGCCACGCUUCCUCGGGGGUCCCUCUUCGGUUGCAAGC